UGAAAUGCAGUGAGGAGGGGACAGAGGAGGAGCAUCUCAGGGGCCUGGGGGACUCAUCCCAGGGAAGCUGAGUCACAGGGCAAGUGUUCCUGGGAAAUUAGCCCAGCCCCAGAGUAGACUCCGUGAGAUGGCAUGGCCAGGAUUUUGGGAAAGCUGAGUACAGAGAGGAUAUUCUCCAAGAGAAGGAGCAAUGUCUUGGGUUAACCUGAGGACACAAGGCAGGGUAGAGCAGCAAGGAAGGACCAACAGCCUGAGGGGUCAGGGCCUGAGCUUGGCCCUUGAGUGAGUGCCCUGGAGCAGCAGCCGCCUGCAGAGUGAAAUCAGGCUGAGGUCCCCGUGGCCUGUCGCUGCGGCUCUGGCUCCCGUGUCCCUCGCUCUGUAGGCAAACCGGGCAUUCUAGCCAGCUGGCGUGCUCUCUAGGGGAUGGGGGCCCUCAGAGGGCUGCGAUGUCCAAGCCCAGUCUUUGAGGAAGAGCCGGCCAGCCUCCGCAUGCAUUUUCCCAGCCUGGUCCUCUGCUGUGCGGCCAUCCUGUAAGGAAGGCCGCCACUCCCAUCCUAGCGGACCUUGACUUUAGGUUGCCAUCUGCUAUUACAAACAACACACCCGUGGGCCUGUCUGCGGGAUAAAUUCCUAGGAGAACAGCCAGGUGGGACGACAAGGUAAUCUUGUAACGUAUCACCGACCAGCCCUGCAUCAUUGUCCUUCCAAUCCUCACCCCCCACCCCACCCUCCCCCAUAUUAGCACAUUUUGGUCUCUCCCAAACUGACAGGGGAAACCUGGCAUUUAGAGCAGUUUUAGUUUCCAUUUCUCUUAAUAGGAGAUCAUUGAACACCUUUUCUCUGUUUAAGCGCCAGUGGUGUUUUGUGCGGGCUUUCCAUCCCUCUCUGCAAGGGCUUUUCUCCUUUAAACUGCUUACCGUUGGGUGAAAGCCUGAAGCAUGGUCACCUUUAAACUGGUUCAUUAGAAUUCUGUUUUCCCAAGGACCAGAUGAAGGCCUCAAAGAAGAUUUUAGUUCGUUGGGUUUCUUAACGCAGAAACCGGGACGCUGGGCAGUGAGAACUGCAAGUCCUAUUCUUCUAGCUCAUGCCGGCUUUUCUCAUCCUGGGGCGACGAGCUGGGCCCCUGUGAGCCUCCCAGGGAGGCCGGGCAGCUACGCGGGCCUCACUCAGCGUCUCUGCGCUUCGGUCCAGUGACCCACGGCAAGGGGAGCUGCCUGCAAGCUGCUGAUGGUUACGGUGCCCUGUGGUCGAGGAGGCCGGGCUUGGGGCAGGGCCGGGGGGCAGCGAUGCCACCCUGAGCUCUGGGCUCUGAGCAUCUGCACACGGGAUCCUCUGGGACUGUUCUAUGCUCCCGUGGCCCCUGUUGGAGGGGGUUUGCAGACUUGCCAUGGGGAGAAGGAGAGGGUCUAGCUACUGGUUCCUCCUUCUGGCCCCUGCCUGCUUCCCCCCACCAAAUGGCAGCUUUGGAGCAUCCCCAUUUCACACAGAAGAAAAUCAAGACACAGAGAGUUUGAUGAAGUUUUGCAAGGUCACACAGCCAGGAAGACACUUAUGACAUCUACAUAUUUCUAAGAGAGAAAAGCUUCAUAUUAUAUUAUUGAUGAAAGAGAAAAAAAACCUGCUGCCAUCUCGUCUUAUAGUCUUGGAGAUGUGGUAUCUUCAGCCCCAUUUCAGGCCCAGGUGACCAGGACACUGUCACCGAGAAAAAAGGCAACUCACAGGAUUGGAGAAAAUAUUUACAAAUUAAGGGAUUCACAUCCGGAAUAUAUAAAGAGCUCCUAAAAUUCAACAACAACAAAGCAAACAACUCAAUUCAAAAAUAAUGAUAGAUGUGAACAGACAUUUCUCCAAGGAAGACACAUAAAUGGCCACCAGGCACACGAAAAGACGCUCGACAUCAAUAAUCAUCAGGGAAAUGCAAAUCAAAACCACAGUGGAAUACCACUUCACACCCAUUUGGUAACUAUUUUCAAAAAAGCAGAAAAUGAGAAGUGUUGACAAGGAUGUGGAGAAAUUGAAACCCUUAGCAUUGUUGGUGGGAAUGUAAAAUGGUGUAGUCUCUAUGGAAAUCAGUGAUAGAGCUAUCAUAUGACCCAGCAGUUUCACUUCUGGGUAUAUACACAAAAGAGCUGCAUUAAAGGACUGGAAUAGAGAUCUGUACGCCAAUGUGCGUGGCAGCAUUAUUCACAACAGCCAAAGUGGAAACAACUCAAAUGUCCACUGGCAGAUGAAUAAAUAAACAAAGGUGCUUUAUAUCUACAAUAAGGAUAUUAAUCUGCCUUAAGGAGAAAUGAAGUUCUGACACAUGCUACAACAUAGACAAAGACAUUUAUGCUAAGUGAAGUAAGAUAGAUCAAAAGGGACAACUAUGAUUCCAUUUAUGAGAUACCUGGAACAGACAAAUUCAUAGAGACAGAAUGCUGAGUAGUGGUUGCCAUGGGCUGGGGGAGGGGAAAGGGAGGGGAAGUUAGUGUUUAAUGGGCACAAAGUUUCCACUGGGGAUGAUGAGAAAUUUCUGGAGAUGUAUGGUGAUGAUGGUUGCGCAACAGCACGAAUGUACUUAACACCACUGACCUAUCAACUCAAACAUGGCUAAUACAGUAAAUUUUGUUAUGUGUAUUUUACCACAAUGACAACAUUUUUAAAAAAUUUUUUUAUUUAUUUAUGAUAGUCAUCAGAGAGAGAGAGAGAGGCAGAGACACAGGCAGAGGAAGAAGCAGGCUCCACGCACCGGGAGCCCGACGUGGGAUUCGAUCCCGGGUCUCCAGGAUCACGCCCUGGGCCAAAGGCAGGCACCAAACCACUGCGCCACCCAGGGAUCCCACAAUGACAACAUUUUAAUGGAAGGAGCAUCAACUAUCUCCCAGUGCAAACCCUUCAUUUUGCAGAAAAAUAAACUGAGACUUGAAGAGGUACAAAAGCCAAGGGGGAAAAAAAAGAGCCAUCAUUCAUUUCAAAUCCUCAGGUGUUCUUGAAUUUAGAGGAUAUAAAGUAAAACCCCCUUUAGGCAACCUUCCUUAACCACAUCCCCUUCUCCUGGGGGGUAACCACAAUGAAAUCACUUGAUGUGAAUUCUUCUAGAUCUUCUUUUGUAGGUUGACAGAAAUGGAACCAUUUUGUCCUAUUUUGCAACUUGCCCUUUACACUUAAUACUAGUUCUUGCAGAUCUUUCCAUGUCAGUUCCUGUGAGCUACCCCAUUCUUUCAAACUGUUGCGCCGUAUGUCAUAUACACGCACAUCACAGCUAAACGUGGAGCUGUUGGUGAGCACUCUGGUUGGCUUUACGAUUUGGCUAUUAUAGACAAUUAAGUGUGAAUUCCUCUUUGUACAGACAUACAAGUAUUUCUUUACUUAUUAAAGUUACAAGCAUACAUGAA